UUAAAGCUGAUCUGCCCUGGGUAAGUCGGGGCCUAAGGCGAGGUCGGAAGACGUAGCCGAUGGACAACAGGUGGAGAUUCCUGUACUGCAUAUGGUCAGAACUGUGGGGACACGGGGUGUUAACGGAAGCCGGGAAAGGAAAGACCGGUCCAAGCACAGGAGGCGUUGCGCAGGCAAAUCCGCGCAAUAAGCCAAAGGUGUGACGGGGAGCGAAAUUAUAGUAGCGAAGUCCGGAUACAUGCUGUCAAGAAAAGCCGCUAUUGCGCCAUAUGUACCCGUACCGUAAACCGACACAGGUGGAUGAGGAGAGAAUCCUAAGGCCGGCGGGAGAAGUGUUGUUAAGGAACUCGGCAAAAUGGCCCCGUAACUUCGGGAGAAGGGGCGCCCAGAAAUGGGCCGCAGAGAAAAGGCUCAAGCAACUGUUUAGCAAAAACACAGGUCUAUGCGAAACCGAAAGGUGAGGUAUAUGGGCUGACGCCUGCCCGGUGCUGGAAGGUUAAGGGGAGAGGUUAGCCGCAAGGCGAAGCUUUGAACUUAAGCCCCAGUAAACGGCGGCCGUAACAAUAACGGUCCUAAGGUAGCGAAUUUCCUUGUCGGGUAAGUUCCGACCCGCACGAAAGGCGUAAUGAUUUGAGCACUGUCUCGACAACACACCCGGUGAAAUUGAAAUACCAGUGAAGAUGCUGGUUACCUGCGCCAGGACGGAAAGACCCCAUGGAGCUUUACUCUAGUUUGAUACUGGGACCCGGUAUGACAUGUACAGGAUAGGUGGGAGGCAGAGAAUUAAUGACGCCAGUCAUUAAGGAGCCGCUGUUGGGAUACCACCCUUGUGAUGCCAGGUUUCUAACGAGCUGCCGUGAACCGGCAGGCGGACAAUGUCAGGCGGGGAGUUUGACUGGGGCGGUCGCCUCCGAAAGGGUAUCGGAGGCGCUCAAAGGUUCCCUCAGAAUGGUUGGAAACCAUUCGGAGAGUGCAAAGGCAGAAGGGAGCCUGACUGCGACACCGACGGGUGGAGCAGGUACGAAAGUAGGACUUAGUGAUCCGGUGGUAUAAAGUGGGAUUGCCAUCGCUCAACGGAUAAAAGCUACCCUGGGAUAACAGGCUUAUCACUCCCAAGAGUUCACAUCGACGGAGUGGUUUGGCACCUCGAUGUCGGCUCAUCGCAUCCUGGGGCUGGAGUAGGUCCCAAGGGUUGGGCUGUUCGCCCAUUAAAGCGGUACGCGAGCUGGGUUCAGAACGUCGUGAGACAGUUCGGUCCCUAUCCGGCGCGGGCGUAAGAGAUUUGAGAGGAGCUGUCCUUAGUACGAGAGGACCGGGAUGGACGGACCACUGGUGUAUCUGUUGCACCACCAGGUGCACGGCAGAGUAGCCAAGUCCGGACGGGAUAAACGCUGAAGGCAUCUAAGCGUGAAGCCCCCCUCAAGAUGAGAUCUCUCAUUCGAAAGAAGUAAGACCCCUUGAAGACGACGAGGUAGAUAGGGCAGGGGUGGAAGGGCAGUAAUGUCCGGAGCUGACUGUUACUAAUCGGUCGAGGGCUUGACCAA
rnacentral:rRNA from 1 species